rnacentral:rRNA from 1 species
AUGCAGUCGAACGAUGAAGCCGGAGCUUGCUCUGGUGGAUUAGUGGCGAACGGGUGAGUAACACGUGAGUAACCUGCCCUUGACUCUGGAAUAAGCGUUGGAAACGACGUCUAAUACUGGAUACGAGCUUCAGCCGCAUGGCUAGGAGCUGGAAAGAAUUUCGGUCAAGGAUGGACUCGCGGCCUAUCAGGUAGUUGGUGAGGUAAUGGCUCACCAAGCCUACGACGGGUAGCCGGCCUGAGAGGGUGACCGGCCACACUGGAACUGAGACACGGUCCAGACUCCUACGGGAGGCAGCAGUGGGGAAUAUUGCACAAUGGGCGAAAGCCUGAUGCAGCAACGCCGCGUGAGGGACGACGGCCUUCGGGUUGUAAACCUCUUUUAGUAGGGAAGAAGCGAAAGUGACGGUACCUGCAGAAAAAGCACCGGCUAACUACGUGCCAGCAGCCGCGGUAAUACGUAGGGUGCAAGCGUUAUCCGGAAUUAUUGGGCGUAAAGAGCUCGUAGGCGGUUUGUCGCGUCUGCUGUGAAAACUGGAGGCUCAACCUCCAGCCUGCAGUGGGUACGGGCAGACUAGAGUGCGGUAGGGGAGAUUGGAAUUCCUGGUGUAGCGGUGGAAUGCGCAGAUAUCAGGAGGAACACCAAUGGCGAAGGCAGAUCUCUGGGCCGUAACUGACGCUGAGGAGCGAAAGCAUGGGGAGCGAACAGGAUUAGAUACCCUGGUAGUCCAUGCCGUAAACGUUGGGAACUAGAUGUAGGGACCAUUCCACGGUUUCUGUGUCGCAGCUAACGCAUUAAGUUCCCCGCCUGGGGAGUACGGCCGCAAGGCUAAAACUCAAAGGAAUUGACGGGGGCCCGCACAAGCGGCGGAGCAUGCGGAUUAAUUCGAUGCAACGCGAAGAACCUUACCAAGACUUGACAUAUACGAGAACGGGCUAGAAAUAGUCAACUCUUUGGACACUCGUAAACAGGUGGUGCAUGGUUGUCGUCAGCUCGUGUCGUGAGAUGUUGGGUUAAGUCCCGCAACGAGCGCAACCCUCGUUCUUUGUUGCCAGCACGUAAUGGUGGGAACUCAAAGAGACUGCCCGGGUCAACUUCGAAGGAAGGUGGGGAUGACGUUCAAAUCAU